AGUGAACGCUGGCGGUAGGCCUAACACAUGCAAGUCGAACGGCAGCACAGUAAGAGCUUGCUCUUACGGGUGGCGAGUGGCGGACGGGUGAGGAAUACAUCGGAAUCUACUUUUUCGUGGGGGAUAACGUAGGGAAACUUACGCUAAUACCGUAUACGACCUACGGGUGAAAGCAGGGGAUCUUCGGACCUUGCGCGAUUGAAUGAGCCGAUGUCGGAUUAGCUAGUUGGCGGGGUAAAGGCCCACCAAGGCGACGAUCCGUAGCUGGUCUGAGAGGAUGAUCAGACACACUGGAACUGAGACACGGUACAGACUCCUACGGGAGGCAGCAGUGGGGAAUAUUGGACAAUGGGCGCAAGCCUGAUCCAGCCAUACCGCGUGGGUGAAGAAGGCCUUCGGGUUGUAAAGCCCUUUUGUUGGGAAAGAAAAGCAGCAGGUUAAUACCCCGCUGUUCUGACGGUACCCAAAGAAUAAGCACCGGCUAACUUCGUG
rnacentral:rRNA from 1 species